rnacentral:rRNA from 1 species
UACGUAGGGGGCAAGCGUUGUCCGGAUUUAUUGGGCGUAAAGAGCGUGUAGGCGGCUAGAUAGGUCCGUUGUGAAAACUCGAGGCUCAACCUCGAGACGUCGGCGGAAACCAUCUGGCUAGAGUCCGGAAGAGGAGAGUGGAAUUCCUGGUGUAGCGGUGAAAUGCGCAGGUAUCAGGAAGAACACCCGUGGCGAAGGCGGCUCUCUGGGACGGUACUGACGCUGAGACGCGAAAGCGUGGGGAGCGAACAGG